rnacentral:lncRNA from 1 species
AAACGAAGAGAAAUUCUCCCCAGCAAACCCACUUGCUUAUUUGAUUUUGUGUACGGUGGUUCCAGUUUCUGCAUGUCCUCACCAGCGCCUGGCAUUCUGCGGUGGUACCUCAUUGUGGUUUCUCACCUGCAUUCCACACAUGACUCAUGGUGCUGAGGCUCACAUGCUUAUUAGCCGUGUGAUAAUGCUGGCUUUAUAGAAUGAAUUAGGAAAUAUUCCUUUCGCUUCUAUUACUGGAAAACAUCAUAGAAAAUUACUAUCAUGUUUGGUCGCAUUCAUCAGUGAACCCAUUGAGACCCGCUGCUUCCUGGUCUGAAGGAAGGUAAUGAUUUAUUGAUUCAAAUCCCUUAAUGCAUAUAUACCUAUUCCUAUUAUCUACUCUUUCUUGUGUAAGUUUUGGUAGAUUGUGUCUUUAAGAAAUUGAUUUAUUUCAUCUAGGUUAUCAUAUUUGUGGGCAUAGAGUUGUUACAGGAAUAAUAUUCUCUUAUCAUUCUUUAGGUUCAAUAGCAGUGGCCUCUAUUUUAUUUCUAAUGUCAAUAGUUUGUGUCUCAUUUCUUACCUUGUUAACUUAGCUACAGGUUAUCAAUUUCAUUGAUUUUUUUUUUAAAACAACUUUUGGUUUUGUUGACUUUCUCUAGUAGGUUCCUAAUUUCAGUUUCGUUGAUGUCUGCUCUAGUUUUUAUUAAUGUUUUUUGUCUGCCUGCUGUGUUUUUGAUGAGUUCUUCUUUUCUGGUUUAUUGAGGUGGAACCUUAGAUAAUUGGUUUCAGAUCUUUCUUCUUUCCUGAAAUGCCUCAUUUCGAUGCAGUAAAGUCUCCUCCCAGCACUGAUUUUGUUGCAUCUCCCACGUUUUGAUAAGUUGUAUUUUCAUUUUCAUUUAUUUCAAAAUAUUGCUUAAUUUCUCUGGAGAAUUUUUCUUUGACUCGUGUUAUUUUGAAGUGUGUUGUUUAAUCUCCAGGUAUUUUUUAUUUUUCCAAUUGUCUUUCUGCUAUUGAUUUCUAGUUUUAUUGUGUUCAGAGAGCAUAUUUUAUUUUUCCAUUCUUUUAACUUGUUGGGGUGUGUCAGGACUUAAAAUUUGGUCUGUCUUGGUGAAUGUCCCAUGUGAGCUUGAGAAGAAUGUAUUUUGCUGUUGCUUAACAAAACAUUGCAUAGAUAUCACGCAAAUUGGCUGAAUGAUAGUACUGUUCGGUCCCGCUAUGCCCUUACCGAUUUGUCUGCUGGAUCUGGC